rnacentral:tRNA from 1 species
GGGGAUGUGGCUCAAGUGGUAGAGUGCUCACCUAGCAUGUGUGAGGCACUGGGUUCGAUUCUCAGCACCACA